rnacentral:rRNA from 1 species
UACGUAGGGGGCAAGCGUUGUCCGGAAUCAUUGGGCGUAAAGAGCGUGUAGGCGGCCCGAUAAGUCCGCUGUGAAAGUCCAGGGCUCAACCCUGGAAUGCCGGUGGAUACUGUCGGGCUCGAAUCCGGAAGAGGUGAGUGGAAUUCCUGGUGUAGCGGUGGAAUGCGCAGAUAUCAGGAGGAACACCGAUGGCGAAGGCAGGUCUCUGGGCCGCAACUGACGCUGAGGAGCGAAAGCAUGGGGAGCGAACAGG